AGGGUGCCAGCCUGAUCUCCUUAGGGAGGGAGUUCCAGAGCCAGGGGGCCACCGCUGAGAAGGCCCUCUCCUUCGUCCCCACCAACCGCACCUGAGACAGAGGCAGGAGCGAGAGGAGGGCCUCCCCAGAUGAUCUCAAGGCCCAUGUUGGUUCAUAGGGGAGGAGGCGGUCACAGAGAUAAGCAGGACUAUCAUAUACAUAUACAUAAAAUAAGAUAAAAUAAACUGAAGACAGCUCCACAAAACCUGAACUGACACUGUUUCAUAACCCGUUUUGCAUUAUUUUAUAAUCUGUGACAUGCAUUAUUUAGCCAUCCUAAGUACCAGAUUUCCUUUUUUUUAACUUUAAGAAAAUCACAACAAGGUAUACAAAACAAACCAGUUCACCAGACAUUAGUCAACAGAAGAAUGUUGCAAUGUAUUCAAGAAACUAGGUGAAUGCUAAAGCUUCUCCUUCAGACAAUUCAUUUAAAAAGAGGACAUUGAAAGUUGUUCCCUCAGUGGAAAAUAAGAUAAACGUUUUUUUUAAAAAAAACAACAACUGCAACUUACUGUUUAAUUAUAUAGUGUGCUUUUUGGUUUUGUAUUUUGUGCAGCCAUUUUCUACAACUUUUCCUGUCUCUUUCAAAUAACAAAGAUGGAAAAUUAUUCUGAAAAGGAAACCAUUUCCACUUCUUCCAGAAAGCAGAAACCUAUUUUAGUUUUCCAGGAAAUGCUGAGAGAUCCAAAUUUCAAGCACAUGUCAUGACAGAUGAAAGAUACAGGUUACUUUAUACAGAUACCUGUGACAGUUGAGGAGAAUGGACCUGAAGAAGCAAUGUGUUUUCUUCUCUGUGUGACCCCAACAGCAUGGGCUGACCUAACCAUGUUCCCCCAACUAUUAGGAGAAAGGCUAGCCCACCUAACCAGUGGCAAUAAUUAUUGGAAGUUGCAGUCCAACAAAUGCUGGAGGGCAGCACGAUCACCAUGCUGACAGUUUAAAAUGUGUCAAUAGAGAGCACAUACACUUGACACAACAUGAUUGCAAAUGCUUUUUCGUGGAUCAUUUCAUCAAUAAAUAGAGGACUAUUUUGUGAUGUCAUUUGACAUGUUUGAUUUUUUUAAAGCUUAACCUGUUAACUGCAAAAAUAUAAAAUGAAAAUAAAAUGUUUACUUAAAAGCAGUUGGCAGAAGGAUGAAAGCUAUCACACGAUGCACUUUCUGCAAGCAACUGGUUUAAAAAGUCAGUGAAGGAAGUGUGAACUCACACUUAAAUUACUUUCUCCCUUGGAAAGGAAAAUAUAUACUGUAUAUAUAAUGCCUUGGAGUAAAAAAAUAAGAACCAAGCUAGGAAGAAAUCAAGUUUAACUAGUUCUACUAGGAAUUUAUGUAUUAUUAUUAUUUAUUAGCAACAUUUAUAUCCUGCCCUUCUCACCCCGAAGGGGACUCACGGCGGUUUACAAGUAUAUAUACAUACAAAAUAUUAUAUUAUACAACUAUAUUGCAAUAUUAUUAGUAAUAUUGCAUGUAAUAUAAAUAUACAAUUAUAAUAGUGAAUUAUAAUUAUUAUUACAUUGUAUUACAUCAUAAUAUUAUUAAUAUUACAUGUAUAUACAAUAUAUUAUAAUAUUAGUAUAGUAUAAUAUUUAUUAUAUAUUAUUAUAUCAUUAAAUUGAUACAGGAGACAUGGUGGAAAGAUGUCUUCCCUGGCCCCGCCUUCUUCAUUCUGCUCCAGAAUGGCAGUUAGACCUUGGGGGGGGGGGGGGUUUCAAGCUGCAUUCUGUAUUCAUAAUUACAGUAAAUUCAGGCUUUUAAAUCUUUGUACAUACAAUUAUUAAAGUGUUAUAUAUUUUUCCUUUGCUAGAACAGAAUUUAUUAAUUCCAAUGUUGACUGAACAAUUCUUAUGUCUUGACAUUUAUUUCUUGUUGCUUUUAUAAAUGUCUUAUGUUCAAUAAAUAAUAUAACAUAUACAGUAGUGUUACUUAUUCAUUCAGUACACACAUUUCUAUGGUGUACAAAGGACGCCAAGCUUCUUUUUUAAUGUUUCAAAAUAAUAUAUCUCUAGAUUAGGCACAGAAAGAAAAAAAGGUAAAUCUACUGUAACAUCUGGAUGAUUUGCAGCAAGUAUUUCUGGCUCCCAGCACCUCAACCGUGACAAGUAAAAACAAGAAAUUUCCUGUUAAGAGCUGGCCUUGUAUCAUACAUUCAUCUCGAUGGGACAUUUUAGCCGCCCAAAAUGUUUUGUUCUAGAAUUCACACAAGAAACUUGAGCUAAAAUGUAGGCAUUCUGCAAUACUGAAAGCAAUAUCCCCAGAUUUCAGACCUUUCAGAUUCACAGGCUUGGGAUUAGAAAUGUUUACCAAAAUUGGCUGGGACAAAAAGAUUCCGACAAAUAUACUAGCUUUGGGAAGUGGAUUUUUUGUCCUAUUCAGUAUACAGUAUUGGAACUGUUGUUUGCAAGCUAAGAUGCAAUGAAGUAAAAAAUUAUGUGCUCAGCUUAUCAAUUGGUUCAGAAAAUUUGGAUUUCUUUCUUAGGUGAGACCCUAUCACUAGUACCAGCCCUCAUUCUAAUCCUCAAAGCACUGGCAUUUUUAUUUGAAAAUAUUUUAUUAUUCACAUAAUGCAACUUUAAAAAAAUCCCUGUGCAUUAAGGUUAUCCUCAUCAUCAUUAUUAUGACAUAGCCAGUGCACAUGAUCUGCAACACACAUUCAUACAGACAACAAGUUAUUGCUCCCCGCCACCUAUACAGCUCUUAUACAGAGAAGGGAUCGGGACCAUGAGGACGUAACUGCCCUGCCGAAAUAAAUGUUUCAGAUGAAGGGAUGAAUCUAGCUAUAUUUCUUAUUGUUUGGUAGGUGGAACAAGGACUCAACAAAUCAAAAAGCAAGGUAUUAUUAACUCCCCUACUUUAGUCUUCACAGCAGUUUGUGUGUGUGUGUGGCAAGGAGGAGGGAAGCUUUUAUGGAGGUGGAUUAUAUUUUGCUUUUGGAGGAUUGGUGCAUAGGUUUGGCCCAGUUUGUUCUUGUAUGGAAAACUAAGACUUUACAGCUUUACAGAAGAUCUGAUCUUAACAGAGAUGAACGAAGGU
rnacentral:lncRNA from 1 species